AUUGAACGCUGGCGGCAGGCCUAACACAUGCAAGUCGAGCGAGCGGCGGACGGGUGAGUAAUGUGUGGGAAACUGCCUGAUGGAGGGGGAUAACUACUGGAAACGGUAGCUUAUACCGCAUACCAUCAGAUGUGCCCGGAUUGGAAUAGCUAGUAGGUGGGGUAACGGCUCACCCAGGGGACGAUCCCUAGCUGGUCUGAGAGGAUGACCAGCCACACUGGAACUGAGACACGGUCCAGACUCCUACGGGAGGCAGCAGUGGGGAAUAUUGGACAAUGGGCGCAAGCCUGAUGCAGCCAUGCCGCGUGUGUGAAGAAGGCCUUCGGGUUGUAAAGCACUUUCAGCGGGGAGGCGUUACCCGCAGAAGAAGCACCGGCUAACUACGUGCCAGCAGCCGCGGUAAUAC
rnacentral:rRNA from 1 species